UGUAGGUUGGUAUUUGAUUUUAUUUUAAUUUUUGAUAUUAUUAUUUUUGUUUUUAUUUUAUAUAUUUCAUUUUAGUAUAUAUAUUUUUCUUUUUAGUUUUGCUUAAAUUUUAAAAAAAUAAUAAUAAAAUAGUGCUAGUUAGUAUAGAUUGGUUAGUGAUUUUAUUUCAAUUUUAUUUAUUAUUAUUUUUAUUUUUAUCUAUUUUUCAUUUUAGUAUAUAUAUUCUUUUUAGUUUAGUUUUUUUUAUUUUUAUUUUUUAUAAAAGAACAAUAAAAAAUAAAAUUAAAUAAAUAAAUAAAUAAAUAAAAGCAAAGAUCGAUCCCCACAGUGGGAGAUCAAUUCUGGCAGAAUGCAACCCAGAAAAUGCCUAAGUGGAUUUUACCUGUGUUUCCACUUUCUCAUUUUAUAGUGAAGGAGAAAUUUUUUGCCUAACAUUAUCGAUCCCUCGCUUGAGGGAUCUAGAUCGAGCACCUCUUUUUAGCCCUCACUUGUCUCCAUCGCCUAGCUGCCUAACUUCUCUCCAUCGCCUAGCUACACUUACCCAAAAACUCGCCGAAUCUCUCUAACCCUCAUAACCCUAGCUGCCUCAAUCUUCCCUCAUCACCCCUCACCUCUCAUAUCUCAACAUCGAGCACCACACUACUAUCACCAGCUCCGGCCGAAUCAAACCCACCCCAACCUCAGGCCGCCGUCUCUGAAAUUUCAAGCGCAACUUCCAGUCAUGGAGUUCUUUAUUUCCGGCAAGCUCCUGGCCAAAAGGCCGAGCUAUUCUUUCUCAGUCUCGGGUCUCUCUCAUUUGUCUCAUUUUCCGGCGGUCGCGGUUGGGUCGUUCAACGGCGUUGCGGCUGGGUCGCUGUUCUCCGGCGAUUUUGGCUGGGUCGUUCAACGGCGUUGCGGUUGGGUCGCUGUUCUCUGGCCAUUUUAGCUGGGUCCCGCCGGCGAUUUUGGCUUAGUUCUUUUCCGGCCACGAUUUGAGACUCGGCCUUCGCUUCGCUUAAACUGUAAAAUGCUGAAAUUUCCAAUGAUUUUGACUGGUUCUUCACUUCGCUUUGGGUUCUUCGACGUUAAAUGCUGAAAUUUCUAACUAGUUGGGUUCUUCGCUUCGCUUCUCCAGCGAUUCCGGCUAGGUUCUCUCCAGUGAUUUCGGCUGGGUCUCUACGGCGAUUUUGGCUUCGUCGUUCUCGUUUGCUUGGGGGUAAUUGUUUCGAGUUGUAGGUAUAAAAAUACAAAAAAAUAUAUAAAAAAGGCAGCAGCAGCGCCGUUUCCUGGUUCUUCUCCAGCGAUUCCGGCUGGGUUCUUUUCUGGCGAGCUCGUGAUUCGCCGUUCUCCGGCGCUUUUAGCGAGCUCGAGUUGUGGGUCGCCGAUCUCCUUGCGGUUAAUUGUUUCGGGUGCAUUGAACUAAAAGGUGAGUAAAGGAGCAUUUCAAGCAAGGAGCUAAGCAAAAGUAAGGAAAAAGCUAAAAUCUAAAAAAUUUGCAAGGCUAAAAUUGAAAAUUGAAUUGAAGUGAUAAAGGACCCUUUGUAAGCUCUUUCUUAACUCAAUCUCUAGUUAAGUCAUCGGUCCGCGUGAAGGCUUGUAUUAGUAUAGGAUCAUUGUAUGUGGAAGAAGUUUGUUGAUUGUUGAUUUGUUGCAAUGGUGAAGUGUUUGUUCAUUA